rnacentral:rRNA from 1 species
AGACGUCUACAUUAGAUACCCGCGUAGUCCCAGCCGUAAACUAUGCGCGUUAGGUGUAUCGGUGACCACGAGUUACCGAGGUGCCGAAGGGAAACCGUGAAACGUGCCGCCUGGGAAGUAUGGUCGCAAGGCUGAAACUUAAAGGAAUUGGCGGGGGAGCACCACAACAGGUGGAGCCUGCGGUUUAAUUGGACUCAACGCCGGGAAGCUCACCGGAUAGGACAGCAGAAUGAUUGCCGGGCUGAAGACCCUGCAUGACUAGCUG